ensembl:lncRNA
GAGAGAGACAGAGAGAGAGAGAGACACAGGGAGAGAGACAGAGAGAGAGAGAGACACAGCGAGAGAGAGAGACAGAGAGAGACAGAGAGAGACAGAGAGAGAGAGAGAGAGAGAGACAGAGAGAGACAGAGAGAGACAGAGAGAGAGAGAGACACAGGGAGAGAGACACAGGGAGAGAGACAGUGGUAGUCUAGUGGUUAGAGUGUAGAGGAGGCAGGUAGCCUAGUGGUUAGAGUGUAGAGGCGGCAGGUAGCCUAGUGGUUAGAGUGUAGAGGAGGCAGGUAGCAUAGUGGUUAGAGUGUAGAGGAGGCAGGUAGCCUAGUGGUUAGAGUGUAGAGGAGGCAGGUAGACUAGUGGUUAGAGUGUAGUGGCGGCAGGUAGUCUAGUGGUUAGAGUGAAGGGGGGUAGUCUAGUGGUUAGAGUGUAGGGGCGGCAGGUAGUCUAGUGGUUAGAGUGUAGAGGGGGCAGAUAGUCUAGUGGUUAGAGUGUAGGGGUGGGGGCAGGUAGUCUAGUGGUUAGAGUGUAGAGGAGGCAGGGUAGUCUAGUGGUUAGAGUGUAGGGGUGGUAGGUAGUCUAGUGGUUAGAGUGUAGGGGAGUAGUCUAGUGGUUAGAGUGAAAUGGGAUACAGUACCUUCCUCUGUCCCCCAGACUGUACAGUCCCUUCCUCUGUCCCCCCCAGACUGUACAGUCCCUUCCUCUGUCCCCC